rnacentral:rRNA from 1 species
GAAGGCGAACCCGGGGAACUGAAACAUCUAAGUACCCGGAGGAAGAGAAAACAAUAGUGAUUCCCAGAGUAGUGGCGAGCGAAAUGGGAUUAGCCCAAACCAGUAUAGUUACGGCUAUAUUGGGGUUGUAGGACUACAAUAUCGAUAUAAAAAUGAAUUGGAAUGGCAUGGGAAGGCCAACCAUAGGGGGUGAGAGUCCCGUACAGGUAAGUGUGAUAGAUGGUAUGGGUAUCCUGAGUAGGUCGGGGCCAGAGGAACCCUGAUUGAAUUUGCCGGUACCAUCCGGUAAGGCUAAAUACUCCUAAGAGACCGAUAGUGAACAAGUACCGUGAGGGAAAGGUGAAAAGUACCCUGAAUAAGGGGGUGAAAUAGUACCUGAAACCGUGCGCUUACAA